AAAGAUGAGGGAUGAUAAUGACUAACAGGUAAAUAUUAGGGAUGAUAAUGACUAACAGGUAAAGAUGAGGGAUGAUAAUGACUAACGUGUAAAGAUGAGGGAUGAUAAUGACUAAUGUGUAAAGAUGGGGGAUGAUAAUGACUAACAGGUAAAGAUGAGGGAUGAUAAUGACUAACAGGUAAAGAUGAGGGAUGAUAAUGACUAACAGGUAAAGAUGAGGGAUGAUAAUGACUAACAGGUAAAGAUGAGGGAUGAUAAUGACUAACAGGUAAAGAUGAGGGAUGAUAAUGACUAACAGGUAAAGAUGAGGGAUGAUAAUGACUAACAGGUAAAGAUGAGGGAUGAUAAUGACUAACAGGUAAAGAUGAGGGAUGAUAAUGACUAACAUGUAAAGAGGAGGGAUGAUAAUGACUAACAGGUAAAGAUGAGGGAUGAUAAAGACUAACAUGUAAAGAUUAGGGGCGAUAAUGACUAACAGGUAAAGAUGAGGGAUGAUAAUGACUAACAGGUAAAGAUGAUGGAUGAUAAUGACUAACAGGUAAAGAUGAGGGAUGAUAAUGACUAACAGGUAAAUAGCUGGGAUGAUAAUGACUAACAGGUACAGAUGAGGGAUGAUAAUGACUAACAGGUAAAUAUGAGGGAUGAUAAUGACUAACAGGUAAAUAUGAGGGAUGAUAAUGACUAACAGGUAAAUAUGAGGGAUGAUAAUGACUAACAUGUAAAUAUGAGGGAUGAUAAUGACUAACAGGUAAAGAUGAGGGAUGAUAAUGACUAACAGCUAAAGAUGAAGGAUGAUAAUGACUAAAAGGUAAAGAGCCGGGAUGAUAAUGACUAACAGGUAAAUACGAGGGAUGAUAAUAACAAACAGGUGAAGAGGAGGGAUGAUAAUGUGUGUG
ensembl:lncRNA